AAUCCAUAGGUUAAUGAGGCGAACCGGGGGAACUGAAACAUCUAAGUACCCCGAGGAAAAGAAAUCAACCGAGAUUCCCCCAGUAGCGGCGAGCGAACGGGGAGGAGCCCAGAGCCUGAAUCAGCAUGUGUGUUAGUGGAAGCGUCUGGAAAGGCGCGCGAUACAGGGUGACAGCCCCGUACACAAAAGCGCAUGUGCUGUGAGCUCGAUGAGUAGGGCGGGACACGUGGUAUCCUGUCUGAAUAUGGGGGGACCAUCCUCCAAGGCUAAAUACUCCUGACUGACCGAUAGUGAACCAGUACCGUGAGGGAAAGGCGAAAAGAACCCCGGCGAGGGGAGUGAAAAAGAACCUGAAACCGUGUACGUACAAGCAGUGGGAGCACCCUUUUGGGUGUGACUGCGUACCUUUUGUAUAAUGGGUCAGCGACUUAUAUUCUGUAGCAAGGUUAACCGUAUAGGGGAGCCGUAGGGAAACCGAGUCUUAAUUGGGCGUUAAGUUGCAGGGUAUAGACCCGAAACCCGGUGAUCUAGCCAUGGGCAGGUUGAAGGUUGGGUAACACUAACUGGAGGACCGAACCGACUAAUGUUGAAAAAUUAGCGGAUGACCUGUGGCUGGGGGUGAAAGGCCAAUCAAACCGGGAGAUAGCUGGUUCUCCCCGAAAGCUAUUUAGGUAGCGCCUCGUGAAUUCAUCUCCGGGGGUAGAGCACUGUUUCGGCUAGGGGGCCAUCCCGGCUUACCAACCCGAUGCAAACUGCGAAUACCGGAGAAUGUUAUCACGGGAGACACACGGCGGGUGCUAACGUCCGUCGUGAAGAGGGAAACAACCCAGACCGCCAGCUAAGGUCCCAAAGUCAUGGUUAAGUGGGAAACGAUGUGGGAAGGCCCAGACAGCCAGGAUGUUGGCUUAGAAGCAGCCAUCAUUUAAAGAAAGCGUAAUAGCUCACUGGUCGAGUCGGCCUGCGCGGAAGAUGUAACGGGGCUAAACCAU
rnacentral:rRNA from 1 species